rnacentral:rRNA from 1 species
CGCGUAGGCGGUUUGAUAAGUCAGAUGUGAAAGCCCACGGCUUAACUGUGGAAGUGCAUUUGAAACUGUCAGACUUGAGUAUCAGAGGGAAAGUGGAAUUCCCGGUGUAGAGGUGAAAUUCGUAGAUAUCGGGAGGAAUACCGGUGGCGAAGGCGACUUUCUGGCUGAAUACUGACGCUGAGGCGCGAAAGCGUGGGGAGCAAACAG